rnacentral:rRNA from 1 species
AAGGUUGACCUCGGAUCAGGUAGGGAUACCCGCUGAACUUAAGCAUAUCAAUAAGCGGAGGAAAAGAAACCAACAGGGAUUGCCUUAGUAACGGCGAGUGAAGCGGCAACAGCUCAAAUUUGAAAGCUGGCUCCUUCGGAGUCCGCGUUGUAAUUUGUAGAGGAUGA